ensembl:lncRNA
GAGAAAGGAAAAGUCCGAGCUGUCACGGAGCAAAAACGGGAGCUGGAAGCAUGUAAAUAUAAUAAUAACCACAGCAACCAAGAAGAGUGCCUGAGGAGCCCAGCUGUCUCACGAGAGCAGGUGGUGGUGAUGAUGAAAGCCCACAGACGGGUGUGUGAUGCCAGUGUGAGCCAGAUGUCAAACUGAGGUCUUCAGCUGUUUUCCUGGCCACUGAAAGUGCACAAACAGCUUCACACACAAUUGACUCAAAAUAAAGACCGC